rnacentral:rRNA from 1 species
AACGAACGCUGGCGGCAGGCUUAAUACAUGCAAGUCGAGCGGGCACUUCGGUGUCAGCGGCGCACGGGUGCGUAACGCGUGGGAACAUGCCUUUAGGUACGGAACAACCAAGGGAAACUUUGGCUAAUACCGUAUAAUAUCUCUGGAUCAAAGAUUUAUCGCCUAAAGAUUGGCCCGCGUUAGAUUAGGUAGUUGGUGGGGUAAUGGCCUACCAAGCCGACGAUCUAUAGGGGGUCUGAGAGGAUGAUCCCCCACACUGGAACUGAGACACGGUCCAGACUCCUACGGGAGGCAGCAGUAAGGAAUAUUGGACAAUGGGCGAAAGCCUGAUCCAGCCAUGCCGCGUGAGUGAUGAAGGCCUUAGGGAUGUAAAGCUCUUUUAGAUGGGAAGAUAAUGACUGUACCAUCAGAAUAAGCCCCGGCUAAAUUCGUG